rnacentral:rRNA from 1 species
GGAUUGAAGCCUUGGUGACUGAGCGGCGGACGGGUGAGUAACGCGUGGGUAACCUGCCUCAUACAGGGGGAUAACAGUUGGAAACGGCUGCUAAUACCGCAUAAGCGCACAGUACCGCAUGGUACGGUGUGAAAAACUCCGGUGGUAUGAGAUGGACCCGCGUCUGAUUAGGUAGUUGGUGGGGUAACGGCCUACCAAGCCGACGAUCAGUAGCCGACCUGAGAGGGUGACCGGCCACAUUGGGACUGAGACACGGCCCAAACUCCUACGGGAGGCAGCAGUGGGGAAUAUUGCACAAUGGGGGAAACCCUGAUGCAGCGACGCCGCGUGAGCGAUGAAGUAUUUCGGUAUGUAAAGCUCUAUCAGCAGGGAAGAAAAUGACGGUACCUGACUAAGAAGCCCCGGCUAACUACGUGCCAGCAGCCGCGGUAAUACGUAGGGGGCAAGCGUUAUCCGGAUUUACUGGGUGUAAAGGGAGCGUAGACGGCAUGGCAAGCCAGAUGUGAAAGCCCGGGGCUCAACCCCGGGACUGCAUUUGGAACUGUCAGGCUAGAGUGUCGGAGAGGAAAGCGGAAUUCCUAGUGUAGCGGUGAAAUGCGUAGAUAUUAGGAGGAACACCAGUGGCGAAG